rnacentral:rRNA from 1 species
AUUGAACGCUGGCGGCAUGCUUUACACAUGCAAGUCGAACGGCAGCGCGGGCUUCGGCCUGGCGGCGAGUGGCGAACGGGUGAGUAAUACAUCGGAACGUGCCCAGUAGUGGGGGAUAGCUCGGCGAAAGCCGGAUUAAUACCGCAUACGACCUGAGGGUGAAAGCGGGGGAUCUUCGGACCUCGCGCUAUUGGAGCGGCCGAUGGCAGAUUAGCUAGUUGGUGGGGUAAAGGCCUACCAAGGCGACGAUCUGUAGCUGGUCUGAGAGGACGACCAGCCACACUGGGACUGAGACACGGCCCAGACUCCUACGGGAGGCAGCAGUGGGGAAUUUUGGACAAUGGGCGAAAGCCUGAUCCAGCAAUGCCGCGUGUGUGAUGAAGGCCUUCGGGCUGUAAAGCACUUUUGGCGGGAACGAAAAGGACUGUGCCAAUACCACGGUUCGAUGACGGUACCCGCAGAAUAAGCACCGGCUAACCACGUG